CCGGCUCCGCGGCACCAGAAGUUCGGCUGGUCCAAGAGGAAAGAGUCCGAGAACUGGCUAAAGCCGAUGAACAGAGCCGGGAUCCAGGUUCAGAAAUAUUCUCCCACUGAAAAGUCUCUGGAGUAUAAAAUUCUGUCUCUCCCUCUCCAUCUUCAUUGUAUGAGAUGCCCAGAAAAUCCCGCUGUUGCAAAUGGAACUAACUAGAAGCACAGUGUUUAUCCUUCACAUUUUCAUUUAAUGAGAAUGACAACUGUCUGAACCCCAAGGGGAAUUGGUGAAGAAUUUAAAUCCUUCCUUGCAUGUAUGUCCUCUACAUAAAGUUACCAUGGUUUCUGGAUUCCAUCAGAAGUCUCUCAUUUUCCCCUUCAACAUCGAUUGCUUACUCCCUUCUGGAAGUGUCCACACUGGAAUUCGGCCUCACUGUUUGAAGUUCUGUGUUGCUAAGAGAUGCUGUUUUGCAGUAAACCCAAGUGUGAACACACACUAAGAAGGAAAUGCAAUUUUUAAAGGAUAACAAGUAAUGAAGCUGAAUGGCGUCUCUAGUCACCUACCUUAAGCCUCCUUUUCUGGGAGAGGAAACUGAGGCCCCAGAGAAAUGGAAUCCUUUGACUUAAAUCAGUUCAUCACAGGUCAGCCUGGGACUAGAGCUCAGUUUUUCCGACUCCCCGUAAUACAUCCUUGGUGCUGCCUCCCUGGGAACUGAAAUUGUGUAGAAUAUCUUAUGAUCGAUAAUAAUACCAUUGACAUACAAUCAACAGGGCAUUUUUCCCUUUAGCAGAAAUGAUGGAUUUAUACCAAUGAUUCUCCUCCUUCAUCACUCUGUAAACAAAUAACUUAUAUGUAUUAAAAUAGGCUCUCUCUGAGUUCCUCCAGAGACUUCAAGCUCUUUGAAGACCCAAGGGUGCAUCCUUCAUAUCCUGUGCUUAGUAGGGACUCAGUAAAUGGUGAGUGGAUGGAUGGAUAACACAAGGCGAAACCACCCACCCACAAGAGACUGCAUGGACUCCCCCAUUAGGCCAAUGAAUUUAAACAGCCACAGGCAGAAGGAAGAAGGAAUGCUUUGAGAGCCAUUCAGGAGAGCAAAUCUGCCCUGUGGAACAACUGUUACAGAUUCACGAGCUCGGUGUCUAUUGGGAAGACCGACACCUAAAAUGUACAAACUGAAGAAACCCAUUUGGGGACUUUGGGGAGUAGGCUGACUCACCACAAAACUAAACUAAAGAAUCGUUUCUGGCUUGUGAGAGAUGGAUGAUGCCCCAGCAGGAAGUGUUCAGAAAGUCUACUGAGAGGCACAGGGUGAGAUAGGGAAUGAUGAGUGAAGCAGGAUCAAUCAUCAGGGCCCAAAUCCGCUGACAGGGAGACCUGGAUGCCCAUGCAGUAAGGAGGAACAGACAAUUUACUGUCUUCUACUCCUUUUACUACAUCUGGCCUGAAAAUCUUCAUAGCUACUUCAGGAUCAUUUGAUUUUAGCCAUAGCAUCUUGACAAAGAGAAUGAUGCCUAUAAAAUCUAGUAGUUAAGCAAAUUCCACUACUUUGUGUUAAUUUCUGGGAGUCAGGGUGGGAUGGAUUGGAAAUCUUCAUUUUCUGGGUUUAAAAUAGUCUCAUAAAUCUAACCAACUGAAAUAUAAAGUCUUUCCAAAUAGAGGACUCCCUGGACCACUUCA